UAUUGGGUGGUCUAGAACCCGUUUGGUGUCCCCAGACACCAUUGGGGGGGUGUGACAAUGUUGGGUGGUCUAGAACCCGUUGGGUGAUGCAGGACACCCUAGGGGGUGUGUGACAACGUUGGGUGGUCUAGAACCCGUUGGGUGUCCCCAGACACCAUCGGGGGGGUGUGACAACGUUGGGUGGUCUAGAACCUGCUGGGGGACCCAUGACACCAUUGGGAGGAGGUGGUCCCAUUGGGUGGUCUAGAACCUGUUGGGUGUCCCCAGACACCACUGGGGUGUGUGUGACAACGUUGGGUGGUCUAGAACCCGUUGGGUGUCCCCAGACACCAUUGGGGGUGUGUGACAAUGUUGGGUGGUCUAGAACCCAUUGGGUGCCCCUGGACACCAUUGGGGGGGUGUGACGUUGGGUGGUCUAGAACCCGUUGGGUGUCCAGGACACCAUCGGGGCGGGUAGGUGAUAUUGGGUGAUCUAGAACCUGCUGAGGGACCCAGGACACUGUCUGGGCGGGGCCUCACUGGGUGAUCUAGAACCUGGUGACUCAGGAUACCAUGGAGACAGGAGGGACCCUAUUGGGUGAUCUAGAACCCUUUGGGUGUCCCCACAGGUGCACCGAGGGGCCCAGGCGUCCGGGACGGAGGCAGGCAUCCAGGCCGGGGGUGGGCAGAAGGGCCCAGGCGUCCGGGUUUAUUGCCCUGCCACCCCAAAGGGGCCCAGGUGUCCGGGGUGGUGGCGCUCAGAGGGGCCCAGGCGUCCGGGACGGAGGGGCCCAGGCGUCUGGGCUAGUGUCGCUCAGAGGGGCCCAGGUGUCUGGGGCAGAGGGGCCCAGGCGUCCGGGCCGGUGUCACUUGGAGGGGCCCAGGCGUCCGGGGUGGUGUUGCUCGGAGGGGCCCAGGCGUCUUGGUUGAAGGUGCUCAGAGGGGCCCAGGCGUCCGGGCCGGUGUCACUUGGAGGGGCCCAGGCGUCCGGGGUGGUGUCGCUCAGAGGGGCCCAGGCAUCUGGGUCGAAGGUGCUCAGAGGGGCCCAGGCGUCCGGGAUGGUGUCGCUCAGAGGGGCCCAGGUGUCCGGGGCAGAGGGGCCCAGG
rnacentral:lncRNA from 1 species